GUGCUCGCUUCGGCAGCACAUAUACUAAAAUUGGAAUGAAAUAUAGAAGAUUAGCAUGGCCCCUGCACAAGGAUGAAUGGGAAAAGACAUUUGUAUUCAACAAAUCA
rnacentral:snRNA from 1 species